rnacentral:rRNA from 1 species
UAACGUAGGGGGCAAGCGUUGGUCCGGAAUUACUGGGCGUAAAGCGCGUGUAGGCGGCCAGGUAGGUCUGCUGUGAAAACUCGAGGCUUAACCUCGAGAUGUCGGCGGAAACCAUCUGGCUAGAGUCCGGAAGAGGAGAGUGGAAUUCCUGGUGUAGCGGUGAAAUGCGCAGAUAUCAGGAAGAACACCCGUGGCGAAGGCGGCUCUCUGGGACGGUACUGACGCUGAGACGCGAAAGCGUGGGGAGCAAACAGG